AAAGGUAUGCGGGUUAUGUAUAGAUUCAUAUAGCACAUGGAUGCAUAUAGCUACAAUGUCGUAUUGUCAACGUACAUGUAUGUAUGUAUGUAUGGUACAAGUCAUUUAUACCUGACCUCUACGGUAACUUCCGAUAUAACGACAUAUUUUCUUUUAACAUCGCAGAAAUAAACUUCUCGAUUUCUGUUAUCUCAACUUGAUAACAGAUGGAAUUGGCUUAGCAUUUUUUCUUAAUGCUUUCUCUUUAGAUUUUCAUCACGGAAUAGCCAAGUGACACAUUUUUUUUUUUUUUAAAGAUGUAGAUGGCAAAUCACAAUUCCAAUGUGCAAACUGCUUUGUAUCAUAUUUUCGUAUGGCUCUGUAAAAUCAUAGUUGCAUUUCUGAGACAUUGAAUUACAACGGAAACCAAACUGUCGAUUUCAGAUAAAUUUUUAAUCUAUUUUUUUCCAAGAAUUUGGGAAAUAAAACGAGAUUUGCCUGGUGCACUAUUAAUCUACGCCCUGGGAAACAAAAAUUCAAAACCUCAAAAUCGAAUCAUGCAUUGACUCGCAAAGUGCAUAAAUGAGGUACAUAACCCGGAUGCCAUUGAUACAUCUGUACUUUUACCCAUUCUGGUCCGUUUUUGCACAACAAUGAUGUCCCUGACACCCCAUGAAAUCGAACAGAAAGUCAAAGGUCACCAGAUCACGUGCCAUCAGAAAUGGAUUACCCCUCCUAAUCCCCUGUUUUCAUGCGAAACCGAUGCCGAUGGAGACUCGAUUCACCGAGACAGGGACGAAAUGUUUUAUACUUCUGCGAGAAACAUGCCUGUCGCAGAAAUUCUGACAGAAGAUUUCUGGUUCCGACUGCCAGGAUGUCGUUGUUUUUUUUCUUCUCGCCACGGUGCUGAUGUAGACAUGGACCGCCCGCCAUGACAGCCUCCAUCCCGCCAUCUGACCGACCAGAGAAUUCUGGCAAGAUGGCGGCCAAGGAUCAUCUGCCGCUGGGACUCGUCCACGCGCGCAGAGGCUACACUUGAAUAGAGUAGAACGGCCGGUCAGAGAGGAGAGGAGAUGUAGCAAAGAACACGUCCAACAUGCGGUGCCUCCACACCUUCAAUGCCCCGAAAGCGGCAGUACACGGUGUGUAUCUGUUGAGGCACAGAGAUCAGAUGGAGACUCUGCCGAUCGUAUAUAUGAGCAGAACGACCCGAAGAACAUAGAGAACUGAAUCAACUCUGGUCCAGACGGCCGUCUACGCAUACUGCGACGUCAUAUAAAACCCCCGUUCAUUCACUAGUAAACGUCAUCAACAGAGCAGCCAAUUGUACUCAAGUACCAGCCAAUGAAGCACUAUCUCUUUAUUACGUCGAGCCAUGAUGAAAAUUGUAAUUGGAAGCCACUCUCGAUCGUGUGUCAUGUGUCGUACUACUGAAAUGAAAUUUGGUGUUACACCUUUCAAGUCAAUACCAUAACUUUACCAUUGGACGGUUUUGAAUACAUGAUGUUUGAGUAGGCUCUCACGUUGUAUAUGUCAUGUUUCCUCAUUAUCUAAAUUGAUAAAUGAAAAAUUAUGAACU